UAGUCUGUAGUCUAGUGGCUAAGAUAUGUGGCUAGGGCCCCUGAGGUUGGUGGUUCAAGACCCAGUCUGGCCAU